GCCUGCCGCCCUUGCGGGGCUGGAGGCAGCCGAGGCAGCUUCCCCCGCAGGGACACCUGUGAGAAGAAAGCCCAACCCCCUGCCUUCCCCAGGCCACAGGGCUGGGCUGCAGCAUGUCCACGCAGGAUGGACUCUCAGUGCACUUCUGGGUUGUUUCCAGUUUGGGGGAAUCAGACGCCACUGUGGUGAACACUCCUGUACGUGAAUCCUCGCUGAGUGCAUUUUCAUCUGCUUGGUCCCUAAGAUGUGAUUCCCAGGACCUGGCUGGACACAGAGAUGCGUGGAGGCGGGGGGAGGGCCGCUGGGGAGGAGAAAGGGCGGCAGAAGCGACAGCAUGUCGGGCUGGCUGUGGUCCCACUGCCCCAAACAUGGCAGCCCAGCUGCCCACUGGGGCUGCCUGGAGCACUGGGAGGGCCACACGGAGGGCUCCGCAGUACCCGGUGGGCAGGGGAUCUCCCUGGCUCUCCCUGCCACCCCUAGCCCACCUCCUGCACCUCUCCCCUCUCCUCCAGAAUGGCCCUCCCCUGGGAAUUCCACUCCCAGGACAGCUCUCGACUGCUGUCCUGCUGUCUGGUGCUGAAAUCACCAGGCUGGACCACAAUCUGUCUCCAGCCUCACAUUUGGCCCUCGCGCUACACCACUCGCCUGGCUCUUGGGCGCAGGGCUCCUCUUUCUCUCUCUCGGGCAGGAAAAAGUUGCCAGAGGGGCAGAGGCAUCGCCGCCCGGCACCUAUGUAUAGAAUGCCUCACCCGCCCUGAGUUCUCACCCACGAGCUCACCUGUGGACAGACCACAACCCGCGGACUCUCCCGCGUCUCCACCCGCCGGGUGCCCCUGGAGUCCUGCAGCCAGCAACACCCCGCCCGAGCAGCCCAGAGACCCUCGGUGGCUUCUCCCAGGCCCUCCACCUUGAUGCCCUGCUACUCCCUGGAACCAUCUAGACGUCUCCACGGCCCAGGCUCCAAAGCGUAAAUGUCUGGUCCUAUGUCAGAGGCCCUUCUGGCUGGUCGGUGGCCACUCUGUCUGGUUAUUAAUGAAUAUUUGAGCAGCACGCUGGGGUAUUUUGGCCACGGGUUCUGCUGGAAUCUGGGCAGAGAGGAGUGGAUGGCUCCAGGCCAGGUGAGGAAGGGGUGGGGUGGGAGGUGCUCCUGGGGAGUGACGUGAUGUCUGUGUCAAAGAAGACGGAGGCAGAGACAGAAGGCUGUAGGUAUAAAGAGACUAGGCAGGGUGGUGCUUGAAAGGGGAAAAGUCACACUCAGGCAGUGAGCUCACACAGAGGCUGGGCACCUGUGGGUGGGGCGCCUGGUCCCCGCCAUGGCACUGCCCCUGCCGCCUUGGUCGUCUGGUGCCAGGUGACUGGCCACCCCCAGCGCAGGACUGACGCUACAGCAUGCUUGUUAUCCCGCCUUUCUGCCGGCGGCUCUUCUGCAUGUGAGGAUGGCUGGGACGGUGUCCGGCUGCCUGUCUAGUGCCCACAGGGAGGAUGGGCCGGCUGGACGGGGCCUCUGCCUCUCCCUGCAGCCAGACCAGCAGACA